rnacentral:lncRNA from 1 species
GUGGAUCACUGGAACAAUGAGAAGGAGCGGCUGGUGCUGGUCACGGAGCAGUCCCUGCUUAUCUGUAAAUACGACUUCAUCAGUCUCCAGUGCCAGCAGGUGGUGCGGAUAGCGCUCAACGCAGUAGACACCAUUUCCUACGGAGAAUUCCAGUUUCCCCCUAAAUCGCUCAACAAGCGAGAAGGUUUUGGGAUUCGAAUUCAGUGGGACAAGCAAAGUCGUCCUUCCUUCAUAAACAGAUGGAAUCCCUGGUCUACCAACGUGCCCUAUGCCACUUUCACAGAACACCCGAUGGCUGGCGCAGAUGAGAAGACAGCAUCUCUUUGGAAAGCUUCAAGGCUCUGUUAAUCCAAGCUGUCAAAAAAGCCCAAAAAGAAAGCCCUUUGCCAGGACAGGCGAAUGGCGUGCUGAUCCUGGAGCGCCCCCUGCUCAUCGAGACCUACGUGGGACUCAUGUCCUUCAUUAACAACGAGGCGAAACUGGGCUACUCCAUGACCAGGGGCAAAAUAGGCUUUUAGCCGCUGCGUUCUGGGAGCUCCUCCCCCUUCUGGGAGCUCCUCCCCCUCCCCAGAAGGCCAAGGGAUGUGGGGGCUGGGGGACUGGGAGGCCUGGCAGUCUUCAUGCUGCCCUGCUGCUGCUGGAAGGAUGGGGAUCUUUCACCUUUAGGGAUCUCAGCACAAUUAGAAUCGUAAAGUGAAUUCUAUCUAUUUAAUUGGAUAUUGGACUCUGCUCAUAUAAGCUACAGACAAAAGCCAAAAGACUCUCGCUGUCCCUGUGCUGCUGGUAUUUCAUUCUCUGUAACUUCAGUUCUGGUGUUUUCCUUGAGUAUCUACUUGGCUUCUCGUGGUUUUUCCCACCCCAGCUGCCCCAGCACGCGGGACCCAUAGCACACCCCUUAGCGCUUGCCUAGGUUGCUGAAAACAGGGAGGCACCUGGUAUCUCGAGUGCCUGCAGUUGCAAGUAUGUUUACACCUGGUGUCCAAUUUUGUAUUUUAAAAUGUAAUCCAUUUUUACUUCAGCUCAUCCAAAAGCAGCCAGCAGACCGGUUGACUGAGACCGGUCUGUGGCUGUGGGCCCCUUGGUGACCCGCUGCUCUUUUGGAAAUGGGUGACCUGAAGUGACACUUUUUCCACAAUUAACCCAAGUUGUGUUAAUACUUCAGGUCUGUUUCCCAGACCCAGAAAGCUUUACAGAAAAUCAUUGUAAGACAAUUUAUUAAUUUGAGAAAGUCACCUUGACAGUUCUUUGCACACAAGUUUUACACCUCUCUGGAUUCGAAGUUUGUAUUGUAUUCAUAGUUAAAGGGAAUCGGGUACUUUGCUUGUUGAAUAAUGCACUUUAAAACAAGGAACCGUAUCAGGCCAGCAUGGUGGCUCAUGCCUGUAAUCCCAGCAUUUUGGGAGGCUCAGGCAGACAAAUCGCUCUAGCUCAGAAGUUGCAGAGCAGCCUGGGCAACAUGGUGAAACCCGUCUCUACCAAACAGACAAAAAGCAGCCAGGCGUGGUGGCACAUCUGUGGUCCCAGCUACUUGAGAGGCUGAGCCAGGAGGAUCGCUUGAGCCCAGGAGGCGGAGGUUGCAGUGAGCUGAGAUGGCACCACUUAUUGCACUCCAGCCCGGGCGACAGAGCGAGACUCCAUCUACCAGAUCCUUAUGACGCAGCUGAUGCCUGCCUUGGUUCCUACCACUCUGGUGUAGACAGAGGACUUUGUCCAAGUCUCACACUAAACAUGCCCGGGCUUCGAUGUGCCUGGAGGAUUUCCCCACAGGGACCCACGCACCUCCCUGUAUCUGCGCAGCUUGCUCGUGUGGCUGGAAGCGCUGUCGAUAAGCUUCACGCACUGGCUUGCCAGUUCUUCAGCUCUAGGACUUGUAGCUUUAAGCAAACGGUGUGGCAUGGGUUGAGUGUGGCCACCUGCAGGAUGUGCAGGGCUGCCUCAGAAGCUGGCUGGGGACUCUAGCCUCUGUGUUCAUAAAGACAUUAAGA